rnacentral:rRNA from 1 species
UGUACACGCUGUGACUAGCAUAUCAAUAAGCGGAGGAAAAGAAACUAACAAGGAUUCCCCUAGUAACGGCGAGUGAAGCGGGAAGAGCUCAAAUUUGAAAUCUUAAAGGGUUUCCCUUUACGAAUUGUAGUUUAAAGAAGUGUUUUCUGUUGAGGUUUUGGUAAAAGUUCUUUGGAAUAGGACAUCAUAGAGGGUGAGAAUCCCGUAUUUGACCUUUACUUUCAACUUUGUGAUACACUUUCAAAGAGUCGGAUUGUUUGGGAAUGCAGUCCAAAAUGGGUGGUAAAUUUCAUCUAAAGCUAAAUAUUGGCGAGAGACCGAUAGCGAACAAGUACCGUGAGGGAAAGAUGAAAAGAACUUUGAAAAGAGAGUUAAACAGUACGUGAAAUUGUCAAAAGGGAAGCGUUUGACACCAGUGUUGUUUUUCUGAAAAUCAAUUAAAGAACUGUUUAUGCUAAGUUGUUUAGACUUUAUCAGCUAACUGUUUAGUUUUGAGCUUUUCUUUAAUGCACUUUUCAGUUAACAAGUCAACAUCAAUUUCUUUUGCUGUAAAAAAGCUUGAGGAAGGUGGCUUGAGAUUCGUCUUAAGUGUUUAUAGCCUCUUGCCUAUGCAGUCGGAGAGAUUGAGGUCUGCAGCGUAGAUCCUUCGGGGCUAAAUGCAUUUGUGCUAAGUUAUAAGCAUUUUAUAGACAACUUGUUGACUAUGAUUUGUCUUGUAGCUUACUCGCUUAUGUUAUUUUACCUACGCUUAGGAUGUUGACGCGCGUGUGUGCGUG